rnacentral:rRNA from 1 species
GUCCACGCCGUAAACGAUGAGUACUAGGUGCUGUGGGUAUUGACCCCCGCGGUGCCGAAGCUAACGCAUUAAGCACUCCGCCUGGGAAGUACGGUCGCAAGACUAAAACUCAAAGGAAUUGGCGGGGGCCCGCACAAGCGGUGGAGCAUGUGGUUUAAUUCGACGCAACGCGCAGAACCUUACCUGGGCUGGAAAGUGUUCGGAAGUCUGGUGAAAGCUGGAUGUGCCCGCAAGGGAACCGAGUGACAGGUGCUGCAUGGCUGUCGU